GACGAACGCUGGCGGCGUGGAUUAGGCAUGCAAGUCGAACGGUAUCAUCCUUUCGGGGGUGAGAGAGUGGCGAACUGGUGAGUAACACGUAGGUUAUCUACCCUCAAGACGGGGACAACCCAGGGAAACUUGGGCUAAUACCGGAUGUGAGCAACUUUUAGUUGUUUGAAAGGUGGCGUAAGCUGUCGCUUGGGGAUGAGCCUGCGUCCUAUUAGUUAGUUGGUGAGGUAACGGCUCACCUAGGCAAUGAUAGGUAGGCGGCCUUAACGGGUGGUCGCCCACACUGGGAUUGAGAUACGGCCCAGACUCCUACGGGAGGCAGCAGUCGAGAAUAGUCUACAAUGGUCGGAAGACUGAUAGUGCGACGCCGCGUGAACGAUGAAUCCCUUCGGGGUGUAAAGUUCUUUUAUAUGUGAGCAGUGCUUCUUAUAUUAACAGUAUGGGGAAGAGAUAUUAGCAUAUGAAUAAGCAACGGCUAACUCCGUGCCCAGCAGCCGCGGUAAACUCGU
rnacentral:rRNA from 1 species